UUCUCUUUCCAGGGCUCCUAUUGGACGAUUGACACCUGUCCCGAUAUUUCCCGGAAGAGGCGCCAUCCACCGGAUGACGAUCUGUCCCAGGAUUCCCCGGACCAGGAGGCCAGCAAAAGCCCCCGGGGGCCCGUCUCUCUGGGUCCGGAGGCCUCGCUCUCCCCCGAGUCCAACCAGCAGCUCUCCAUGCAAAGCACACCCCCCAGUUACGGCCAGAGCGCGGGGCCCGUGGAGGUGGCUGCCACGGUGGCGGGCGGACAAGGCCGGGAAGGGACCGAGGGGCCACCUCCGCACUACAGCACCAGCAACGACCUGAAGUUCUCCUACUCCGAAAUCAACUUCCAGGAUCUGAGCUGGUCCUUCCGGAACCUCUACAAAUCGAUGCUCGAGAAGUCCUCCUCCUCCCAG